GGAAAUAUGAGUGGUUCAGACGUGACCCAAACACUGAAGUUCAAAUCAGAACAGAUGAUCAACAAAACAGAGUAAUCAGAGUAUCUGAAGGAGGAAUCAACCACUGCAGAGGAAGAAGAGGAAACCCAGAUUACUACACUGAUAAAAGUGAUGAUGUCACCACUGAGAUAACCUUUUCCAAUAAGGUUGUUGUAAAAGGACGACCCAGCUGGCCUCAGAUAUUCAGCGGUGAGACGAUCAGUCUGACAUGUGAGGUGCAGGAAGGAGGUGAAACCACUGAGUGGGAGUAUAGAUGGAGAGGACCCAACCAAACCACACAGUGGACUCACAAUAAUUACUGGAUAUUCAAUGUUUCUGAGUCCAGCAGUGGAGACUACAUGUGUAAGAGUCGACGCAGAGAUGACUCAUAUUCUUCAACAGAGUGGAGUGAAGCCUUCAACUUGUCAGCAUCAACUGUGCUCAGUUCUGAGAGCUCUUCAUUUCUAAUGAUCGCUGGACUAAUUUCUGGAAUCACAUUUAUUUUCCUCCUGCUCUUGCUGUGUUGCUGCAUGAAGUCCAAAGGUGAGACUUUUUGUUCCUCUGAUCUCAGAAAUUUUACUCUUUAAUUAUUUAUGUACACAAACGCAGCAUGCAGGCCUGAAGCUGAAACUGUUGUAUAAAAUGUAUAAAACAUAACCAUGUAAAAGCAAAUGUCUUCUUUUAAGUGUUUAAUAAAGGUUCAGCUGAUGACCAGAGGGUGAGUCAGGAUGAAGAUCAGCAGCAGGUGUACUCCUCUCUUCUUCAUGGUUAGCUUUUCAUGUAGUUUAAAAGAUUCUGAUGCUCUUUGCAACAAGACUGUGCUGCAGUUUUAACACUGGUGAAUUAAACAAAGUUAUGACAAUAACAGCAUUUAAUGUAAAUGUUACUGGUGAGAAUACUUAAUAAUAUUAACAAUGAUAAGUAGAAUAAUUUUCUUUGACCUGCAGGUGAUCGUUGUGUCUAUGAGACAAUCAGAGGCUCUAAAAACACUGAGACUGGUCAAAUAGAAGGUGAUUCAUGUGUGAUUCAGCUCAAAGUGAUUAACAAGACACGUGAGUAUCCAACAUAAAAUAUAUUACAUUUGCAAAACUGUUUGUUUUUUAAAUGCUUUCAUUUCAUCACCUCCACAGAGCCCCGUGGUGACCCAGAGGAGAGCUCUGACUAUUAUAAUGUCAAUCCAAAUUCAACCCCAGGUCCAUAAAGAGCAGCUCACCAUCAACAGAAUGAGGAAAGUGACUGAUGACAACAGCUUCUGUUGAGGAGACAAUAUGACAGGUUUUACAUCACAUUAUAGCCAAACGUCUAAAAUAUUUUUAAAAUUGUUUUCUGUUGAUAUAUUUUCUGUUUAAUUUUUCUCUUUGAUUUCCUCCCUGACACUGUGGUAUCAGUUUGUUAGAAAUAAUAUUAAAUGGUAUAAUGUACACUUAGUUUAGCAGAAAUGUGUAUUACCAUUUAGUAUCCAUGUUAUCUGGGAGCAUUUAUAGCUUUUAUAGAAAAUAUAUAAAAUGCAGCUACAAGACAUUUGAAACACUUGAUGUUUAGCAGCUAAUAAUCUGAUUUUAAAUUCAGCUUUUGCUGUGUCACAUGCAGGUAACAGUGAAUAUUAUUGCUGUAUGUGAUCUCCUACAUUAUGUCAGACUUAAUGAUGCAACACAUGCUGUAUGGAUUUGAAUGUAUCAGUGAAUGUAUUUUGUAUGUGUGUGUUUUCUCUGGAGUUUUUUAUUUCUAGCUAUGAGCUGUAUUUCUGUUGUAUCCUACAUCAUGUUUGUAAAAUAAAACUCAG
ensembl:lncRNA